GUAGGUCUGAUAACAAUCAAUAUGGACCAUCAGUAGGCCUGAUAACAAUUAAUAUGGACCAUCAGUAGGCCUGAUAACAAUCAAUAUGGACCAUCAGUAGGUCUGAUAACAAUCAAUAUGGACCAUCUGUAGGCCUGAUAACAAUAUUGACCAUCUGUAGGCCUGAUAACAAUAUGGACCAUCUGUAGGCCUGAUAACAAUAUGGGCCAUCUGUAGGCCUGAUGACAAUAUGGACCAUCAGUAGGCCUGAUAACAAUAUGGACCAUCAGUAGGUCUGAUAACAAUAUGGACCAUCAGUAGGCCUGAUAACAAUAUGGACCAUCAGUAGGACUGAUAACAAUAUGGACCAUCACUAGGUCUGAUAACAAUAUGGACCAUCAGUAGGACUGAUAACAAUAUGGACCAUCACUAGGUCUGAUAACAACACAACUGCCCAUUUACUGUUAGUUCCCUUCAGUUGGUAUAGUCCACAUUAUCAUUCCAGUCAUUUCACUGUUUGGUUUACCUUCAUUUGCUUUCUUUGUAAACGCCGUCACGGCCGUGUGGUUGUUUUGAAGAUCAUUAGUAAAGUUGACAGUAUUAAGAAAGACAUGCUAAUAGUUAUGGAGAGGAGAACAGACCAAGCCCUAACACAUGGCGAUGUAAU
ensembl:lncRNA